ACAACCGUAGCUCAGUUGGUUAGAGCACCACCUUGACAUGGUGGGGGUCGGUGGUUCGAAUCCACUCGGUUGUACCA
rnacentral:tRNA from 24 species